rnacentral:rRNA from 1 species
GACAGAGGGUGCGAGCGUUGUUCGGAAUUACUGGGCGUAAAGCGCCUGUAGGCGGCAGCGCAAGUCGGGCGUGAAAUCCCACGGCUCAACCGUGGAAGUGCACUCGAAACUGCGCAGCUAGAGUCCUGGAGAGGAAGGUGGAAUGCUUGGUGUAGAGGUGAAAUUCGUAGAUAUCAAGCGGAACACCGGUGGCGAAGGCGGCCUUCUGGACAGUGACUGACGCUGAGGAGCGAAAGCGUGGGGAGCGAACAGG